rnacentral:rRNA from 1 species
AGGAUUAACGCUGGCGGCGUGCCUAACACAUGCAAGUCGAACGAGGUAGCAAUACCUAGUGGCAGACGGGUGAGUAACACGUGGUCAACCUACCGCUUUGUGGGGGAUAACUAGCCGAAAGGUUAGCUAAUACCGCAUACGUCGCAGGCCGGCAUCGGUCGACGAUAAAAGGAGCAAUCCGCAAGGUGACGGGACCGCGUCCCAUUAGCUAGUUGGUGAGGUAAUGGCCCACCAAGGCUCCGAUGGGUAGCUGGUUUGAGAGAGCGACCAGCCACACUGGGACUGAGAUACGGCCCAGACUCCUACGGGAGGCAGCAGUGAGGAAUUUUCCGCAAUGGGCGAAAGCCUGACGGAGCGACGCCGCGUGUGGGAAGAAGGCCUUCGGGUCGUAAACCACUGUCGAAGGGGAAGAUAUUGACGGUACCCUUGGAGGAAGCCCCGGCUAACUACGUGCCAGCAGCCGC